rnacentral:misc_RNA from 1 species
GAUGCCCCCAAUUACCGCCAGGUUUACUUUUCUUCUUAUUUUGUGCAUACAUGAGCUUCGAGCUUGUUGGUGUGUGUAGGUCGGAUCGCUGUCUGUGCAUGGGGUGGUGAUUCCUACGAUUGACGGGAUCAGGAAUGUGCUCGAUCAUAUCGGGGCCAAGACGAAGAAGGUGCUGUGGCAUAACUUGAGAGAAGAGCCGGUGGUCUACAUCAAUGGUAGAGAUGUGGAGAGGCCCUUCCCGAACCUUGAGUAUACGGUAUGUCGAUCAAUUUUCGAGAUGUCUU